AAGCUACUCCCUCCGUUCGUAAUUACUUGUCUCGAAAAUGGAUGUAUCUAGAACUAAAAUACAUCUAGAUACAUCCAUUUCUACGACAAGUAAUUCCGAACGGAGGGAGUAGGUC
rfam:Triticum aestivum genome assembly, contig: Triticum_aestivum_CS42_TGACv1_scaffold_147415_2BS